CGCAUUCCACUUCAGAAGCUUCUUAACAACAUUCUCAGAUGUGUGAAUAUCCAUUAGCAACCCAAGGGGAUUACUCCCUGGCACCAAGUUUACCUUUAUGAGGGGCCUGGAUGAUGAGACUUUCCCCUCCCAGAAGCAGAAGCUAGGAGACUGCAAGCCAUUAAACUUGUUCCUCCAUUUUCCAAACUCUAUAAUGGAACAACACUGACAAAAAGUGAUUCUCCAGCCGACAGAUAUUUACUCAGCACCUACUAUGUAGGAGG